UUGAACCUAGAACAAAACAGACUAACAAAUCAUACCACUGUUUUAUACAUACAUUAAGAGCAAUGAAAUAUUCUCCUGAAUUUUCACUCCAAUGCCUUCAAUUCAUGGUUAUGGUUCUUUCGAUUUCGUUCACCUGCACCGCAGCCGGCCGACUAGACAUUCCGAGGCUUAGUCCGACAAGAGGAACACUCAUAGAAAAUCUCGAACUUCAAUCAUCUGCAGCAGUUUCAGAUGAUCUCCAAACCUUUUAUUAACCUCAAACACUUGAUCACUUCAACUACCAGCCUCAAAGCUACGCCACUUUUCAGCAAAGAUGCGUGAUGAAUUUCAAGCAUUGGGGUGGAGCAAACGACAGUGCCCCGAUUUUAGCCUAUCU